AGUGAUCGCUGGCGGUAGGCCUAACACAUGCAAGUCGAACGGCAGCACAGUAAGAGCUUGCUCUUACGGGUGGCGAGUGGCGGACGGGUGAGGAAUACAUCGGAAUCUACUUUUUCGUGGGGGAUAACGUAGGGAAACUUACUCUAAUACCGCAUACGACCUACGGGUGAAAGCAGUGGAUCUUCGGACCUUGCGCGAUUGAAUGAGCCGAUGUCGGAUUAGCUAGUUGGCGGGGUAAAGGCCCACCAAGGCGACGAUCCGUAGCUGGUCUGAGAGGAUGAUCGGCCACACUGGAACUGAGACACGGUCCAGACUCCUAAGGGAGGCAGCAGUGGGGAAUGUUGGACAAUGGGCGCAAGCCUGAUCCAGCCAUACCGCGUGGGUGAAGAAGGCCUUCGGGUUGUAAAGCCCUUUUGUUGGGAAAGAAAAGCAGCAGGUUAAUACCCCGCUGUUCUGACGGUACCCAAAGAAUAAGCACCGGCUAACUUCGUG
rnacentral:rRNA from 1 species